rfam:Ailuropoda melanoleuca scaffold206_67, whole genome shotgun sequence.
GAAAUGGCCCUUUUCAGGGCCACGGAUACAUCUAAGGAGUCACAG